rnacentral:rRNA from 1 species
UACAGGGGGGGCCAGCGUUGUUCGGAAUUACUGGGCGUAAAGGGCUCGUAGGCGGCCAACUAAGUCCGACGUGAAAUCCCAAAGCUUAACUUUGGAACUGCGUCGGAUACUGGAUGGCUUGAAUUCAGGAGAGGGAUGCAGAAUUCCAGGUGUAGCGGUGAAAUGCGUAGAUAUCUGGAGGAAUACCGGUGGCGAAGGCGGCAUCCUGGACCGACAUUGACGCUGAGGAGCGAAAGCUAGGGGAGCAAACGGG